rnacentral:rRNA from 1 species
AUGAACGCUAGCGACAGGCCUAACACAUGCAAGUCGAGGGGCAGCACAAGGAGCAAUCUGAGGUGGCGACCGGCGCACGGGUGAGUAACACGUAUGCAACCUGCCUGUAAGCGGGGAAUAACCCGUUGGAAGACGGACUAAUACCGCAUAAUACUAAAUUACUGCAUGGUAAUUUAUUUAAACAUUUAUGGCUUACAGAUGGGCAUGCGCAUGAUUAGCUAGUUGGAGAGGUAACGGCUCCCCAAGGCAACGAUCAUUAGGGGUUCUGAGAGGAAGGUCCCCACACUGGUACUGAGACACGGACCAGACUCCUACGGGAGGCAGCAGUGAGGAAUAUUGGUCAAUGGACGAGAGUCUGAACCAGCCAAGUCGCGUGCAGGAAGAAUGUCCUAUGGAUUGUAAACUGCUUUUGCAGGGGAAUAAAGUGCAUCACGUGUGAUGUUUUGUAUGUACUCUGCGAAUAAGGAUCGGCUAACUCCGUGCCAGCAGCAGC